UACGUAGGCAGCAAGCGUUGUUCGGAGUUACUGGGCGUAAAGGGUGCGUAGGUGGCUCUAUAAGUAUGGUGUGAAAUCUCCCGGCUCAACUGGGAGGGUGCGCCGAAUACUGAGUGGCUAGAGUGCGGGAGAGGAAAGUGGAAUUCCUGGUGUAGCGGUGAAAUGCGUAGAUAUCAGGAGGAACACCGGUGGUGUAAACGGCUUUCUGGACCGUAAACUGACGCU
rnacentral:rRNA from 1 species